rnacentral:rRNA from 1 species
AUGAACGCUGGCGGCGUGCCUAAUACAUGCACGUCGAGCGCACGGACGAGAAGCUUGCUUCUCUGAUGUUAGCGGCGGACGGGUGAGUAACACGUGGAUAACCUACCUAUAAGACUGGGAUAACUUCGGGAAACCGGAGCUAAUACCGGAUGAUAUUUUGAACCGCAUGGUUCAAAAGUGAAAGACGGUCUUGCUGUCACUUAUAGAUGGAUCCGCGCUGCAUUAGCUAGUUGGUAAGGUAACGGCUUACCAAGGCAACGAUGCAUAGCCGACCUGAGAGGGUGAUCGGCCACACUGGAACUGAGACACGGUCCAGACUCCUACGGGAGGCAGCAGUAGGGAAUCUUCCGCAAUGGGCGAAAGCCUGACGGAGCAACGCCGCGUGAGUGAUGAAGGUCUUCGGAUCGUAAAACUCUGUUAUUAGGGAAGAACAUAUGUGUAAGUAACUGUGCACAUCUUGACGGUACCUAAUCAGAAAGCCACGGCUAACUACGUG